rnacentral:misc_RNA from 1 species
UACGAAGGGUCCAAGCGUAGCGCGGAAUCACUGGGCUUAAAGGGUGCGUAGGCGGGCGUGCAAGUGCCUUGUGAAAGCCCUCGGCUUAACCGAGGAAUUGCUUGGUAGACUGCACGUCUUGAGGUCGAAAGAGGCUGUCGGAACUGUAGGUGUAGCGGUGAAAUGCGUAGAUAUCUACAGGAACGCCAAAGGAGUAAUCAGGCAGCUGGUUCGAUUCUGACGCUGAGGCACGAAAGCGUGGGUAGCGAACGGG